rnacentral:ncRNA from 242 species
GUUUCCGUAGGUGAACCUGCGGAAGGAUCAUUG